rnacentral:hammerhead_ribozyme from 1 species
AUCCAGCUGACGAGUCCCAAUUAGGACGAAACGUGCGUCUUGGAU